UACGUAGGGGGCAAGCGUUAUCCGGAUUCACUGGGCGUAAAGGGAGCGCAGGCGGCAUGGCAAGUCUGAUGUGAAAACCCGGGGCCCAACCCCGGGAGUGCAUUGGAAACUGCCAGGCUGGAGUGUCGGAGGGGUAAGCGGAAUUCCUAGUGUAGCGGUGAAACGCGUAGAGAUUAGGAGGAACACCAGUGGCGAAGGCGGCUUACUGGACGACUACUGACGCUGAGGCUCGAAAGCGUGGGGAGCAAACAGG
rnacentral:rRNA from 1 species